UUUCGCAAUGCCCGAAAGGGUGACGAUGCGACGCCGCGUGAGCGAAGAAGGCCCUAGGGUUGUAAAGCUCUGUCAGGGGUUAAGAAAUGUAGAUAGGUUAAUACCCUGUUUAUUUGACAAAAGCCCCAAAGGAAGCCACGGCUAACUCUGUGCCAGCAGCCGCGAUAAUACAGAGGUGGCAAGCGUUGUUCGGUAUUAUUGGGCGUAAAGAGCACGUAGGUGGUUUUGUAAGUCAGAUGUGAAAGCCUUCUGUUCAAAGGAAGAACGGCAUCUGAAACUGCAGAUCUUGAGUGUAGGAGGGGAGAGUGGAACUUCUGGUGGAGCGGUGAAAUGCGUAGAUAUCAGAAGGAACGUCGGCGGCGAAAGCGACUCCCUGGCCUAUUACUGACACUGAGUGUGCGAAAGUUAGGGGAGCAAACGGGAUUAGAUACCCCGGUAGUCCUAACCGUAAACGAUGGGCACUAAGUAGAGGGGUUUU
rnacentral:rRNA from 1 species